AACGAACGCUGGCGGCGCGCCUAAUACAUGCAAGUCGAGCGAGAAGGUGUAGCAAUACACUUGUAAAGCGGCGAACGGGUGAGGAAUGCAUGGGUAACCUACCCUCGAGUGGGGAAUAACUAGCCGAAAGGUUAGCUAAUACCGCAUACGUUUCCGGAACUUCGGUUUCGGAAAGAAAGCAAUACCGUGGGUAUUGCGCUCCUGGAUGGGCUCAUGUCCUAUCAGCUUGUUGGUGAGGUAACGGCUCACCAAGGCUUCGACGGGUAGCUGGUCUGAGAGGACGAUCAGCCACACUGGCACUGCGACACGGGCCAGACUCCUACGGAGGCAGCAGUAAGGAAUAUUGCGCAAUGGACGAAAGUCUGACGCAGCGACGCCGCGUGGGGGAGUGAAGGUCUUCGGAUUGUAAACCCCUUU
rnacentral:rRNA from 1 species